AUUGAACGCUGGCGGCAGGCUUAACACAUGCAAGUCGAGCGGGGGAAGGUAGCUUGCUACCGGACCUAGCGGCGGACGGGUGAGUAAUGCUUAGGAAUCUGCCUAUUAGUGGGGGACAACAUCUCGAAAGGGAUGCUAAUACCGCAUACGUCCUACGGGAGAAAGCAGGGGAUCUUCGGACCUUGCGCUAAUAGAUGAGCCUAAGUCGGAUUAGCUAGUUGGUGGGGUAAAGGCCUACCAAGGCGACGAUCUGUAGCGGGUCUGAGAGGAUGAUCCGCCACACUGGGACUGAGACACGGCCCAGACUCCUACGGGAGGCAGCAGUGGGGAAUAUUGGACAAUGGGGGGAACCCUGAUCCAGCCAUGCCGCGUGUGUGAAGAAGGCCUUAUGGUUGUAAAGCACUUUAAGCGAGGAGGAGGCUACUUUAGUUAAUACCUAGAGAUAGUGGACGUUACUCGCAGAAUAAGCACCGGCUAACUCUGUGCCAGCAGCCGCGGUAAUACAGAGGGUGCGAGCGUUAAUCGGAUUUACUGGGCGUAAAGCGUGCGUAGGCGGCUUAUUAAGUCGGAUGUGAAAUCCCCGAGCUUAACUUGGGAAUUGCAUUCGAUACUGGUGAGCUAGAGUAUGGGAGAGGAUGGUAGAAUUCCAGGUGUAGCGGUGAAAUGCGUAGAGAUCUGGAGGAAUACCGAUGGCGAAGCAGCCAUCUGGCCUAAUACUGACGCUGAGUACGAAAGCAUGGGGAGCAAACAGAUUAGAUACC
rnacentral:rRNA from 1 species